rnacentral:rRNA from 1 species
UACGUAGGGCGCAAGCGUUGUCCGGAAUUAUUGGGCGUAAAGAGCUCGUAGGCGGUUUGUCGCGUCUGCUGUGAAAUCCUCAGGCUCAACCUGGGGCUUGCAGUGGGUACGGGCAGACUAGAGUGCGGUAGGGGUGACUGGAAUUCCUGGUGUAGCGGUGGAAUGCGCAGAUAUCAGGAGGAACACCGAUGGCGAAGGCAGGUCACUGGGCCGCAACUGACGCUGGAGGAGCGGAAAAGCAUGGGGAGCGAACAGG